rnacentral:rRNA from 1 species
GACGAACGCUGGCGGCGUGCUUAACGCAUGCAAGUCGAACGGAAAGGCCCUGCUUUUGUGGGGUGCUCGAGUGGCGAACGGGUGAGUAACACGUGAGUAACCUGCCCUUGACUUUGGGAUAACUUCAGGAAACUGGGGCUAAUACCGGAUAGGAGCUCCUGCUGCAUGGUGGGGGUUGGAAAGUUUCGGCGGUUGGGGAUGGACUCGCGGCUUAUCAGCUUGUUGGUGGGGUAGUGGCUUACCAAGGCUUUGACGGGUAGCCGGCCUGAGAGGGUGACCGGCCAAAUUGGGACUGAGAUACGGCCCAGACUCCUACGGGAGGCAGCAGUGGGGAAUAUUGCACAAUGGGCGGAAGCCUGAUGCAGCAACGCCGCGUGCGGGAUGACGGCCUUCGGGUUGUAAACCGCUUUCGCCUGUGACGAAGCGUGAGUGACGGUAAUGGGUAAAGAAGCACCGGCUAACUACGUG